rnacentral:rRNA from 1 species
UUCGAUGCAACGACGAAAACCUUACCACCUUUGACAUGUACGGAACCUUUAGAGAUAGAGGGUGCUCGAAAGAGAGCCGUAACACAGGUGCUGCAUGGCUGUCGUCAGCUCGUGUCGUGAGAUGUUGGGUUAAGUCCCGCAACGAGCGCAACCCUUGUCAUUAGUUGCUACAUUCAGUUGGGCACUCUAAUGAGACUGCCGGUGACAAGCCGGAGGAAGGUGGGGAUGACGUCAAGUCCUCAUGGCCCUUAUAGGUGGGGCUACACACGUCAUACAAUGGCUGGUACAAAGGGUUGCCAACCCGCGAGGGGGAGCCAAUCCCAUAAAGCCAGUCGUAGUCCGGAUCGCAGUCUGCAACUCGACUGCGUGAAGUCGGAAUCGCUAGUAAUCGCGGAUCAGCAUGUCGCGGUGAAUACGUUCCCGGGUCUU